UACGUAGGGGCCGAGCGUUGUCCGGAGUUAUUGGGCGUAAAGCGCGCGCAGGCGGCUUGACGCGCCCGACGUGAAAGCCCCCGGCUUAACCGGGGAGGGUCGUCGGGUACGGUCAGGGUUGAGGGCGGGAGAGGGUGGUGGAAUUCCCGGUGUAGUGGUGAAAUGCGUAGAGAUCGGGAGGAACACCUGUGGCGAAGGCGGCCACCUGGGCCGACCCUGACGCUGAGGCGCGAAGGCGUGGGGAGCGAACGGG
rnacentral:rRNA from 1 species